GAAAAAUUUAGAAGAAGAAAAAAAAUCAUUCCUUACCCCCAUUGCCCAGAGUCAAACUACUUUUUUUUUCAAGUUUAUUUUGAGAGGCAGAGAGAAAAAGUGAGCGUGAGCAGGGGAGAGGCAGAGAGAGAGAAUCCCAAGCAGGCGCACGCUGUCAGCAUGCUGAGACUGAUGCGGGACUCGAACUCAUGAACCUUGAGAACAUAAACUGAGCCGAAAUCAAGAGUCAGCCACUUAACCAACUGAGCCACCCAGGCAUCCCUCAAACUACAUUUUUAUACAUCUCUAUCCUUUCUUUUUCAAGUUUAUUUAUUUAUUUUGACAGAGAGAGGAAGAGACAGAGAGCGCAUGAGCAGGAGCUGGGCAGAGAGAGAGAGAGAGAAAGACUCCCAAGCAGGCUCAGCAUUGCCAGUCUGGAGCCCGAUGUGGGGCCUGAACUCAUGAACCAUGAGAUCAUGACCUGAGCUGAAACCAAGACCCAGAUGCUUAACUGACUGAGCCACCCAGACACCCCUACAUCUCUAUCCUUCAUGUAUAUGUAUAUGUGUGUGAUUUAUACCUCACAUAACUGGGUUUAUACUAUAUAUCCUGUUUAUAGUCUGCUUUUUGGAUUCAACAUUAUAUCAUGAGACUUUUGUCUAUCCCACUGAAAAAUCUUUACGGAUACUAUCAGUAAAAGCUGAUAUGAAUGGACCAUGAUUUCCCCAAUCAUUUCCUAUUACUGAACAUUUCAGUUGUUCCCUGUUCGGGUAGAGCAGAAGGGAGAGUCAUGUUUCGAAUGUGUCGGUUGCCAAGCUUCUGCAGCGUAACCUAAAAGAAAGCAUGUGGCUGGAUGCCCUGCUCUGAUCCCUUUGCGGAGCUGCGAGGGAUGGGUCUGCCUUCAAAUACUGUGAGUCAGUGGCUCUGUGUUUGGUUGGAACCUGAUUUUCAAGAAUGUUGUUUCUUACCGUCUCUAGAUAGGGCUAUGCUGUUUUGCUGGAGCAGGAGGCUCCCUCAUUCCACACACCUUGUGUUUAGGAAGAGUGUACAUCCUCAUUUACCUGAACGGUCCCAGUUGAUGCCAGUUAUCCCUGUGCAAUUGGUAACAGCAUCCCUUCUCACGCUUAAAAAUGUUUGCGUUUGGAAAAUGCAUGAUAGGAUCCGACACCCCAGCUGCUUUGCUCCUCCAACUUCCUGCCCUGGAGGCGUGUGAGAUGGCAAUGUGCUCCUGUCCAUUGUGGGAACGUGGUUUCCAUAGAGACUAGGAAGGGCAGCAGGGCCUCUUGGGUCUCCCUAAAACUGUACCCCAAGGACAUUAUGCCCAUGGGGCACAUAGACUUUCCAUCUUCCACACAUCAGAUAGCAUGUGAUAGAAGCAUCUCUACUAAAGUUGGUGUGGAAACUGAUCUGGAUCUUAUAUUUUUUGCAUAUUGCAUGGGAUUAUAUUAAGUCCGGAGUAUAAAUAUGUAUCUAUUUUAUUUGUGUUUUCCUAACACAGCAUGACGUGCACAAUGGCUAUUAGAUUAAUGCUAUGGAGUCACCGUCUUUAACAUUGACAUCGAAAAACCUGAAUACAGCUUGUGAUGGUUCGAUGCAGAAAAUGUUCCUGCCGGACAGAGCUAACAGAAGGGACAGUUGAACCAGAUUGUUGACAAUGGCUGCAUUUUGAAUAGUGGCAAAAAGGAAUUACAAUGACUUGCCCACCAAUGUUCACAGCGGCAUUAUUCACAACAGACAAAAGGUGGAAACAGCCCUGGUGUCCAUCAACAGGAAUGGAGAAACAAAAUGUGGUCUGUACCUUCAGUGGAAUACUACUGAUCCUUAAUAAGAAUGAAGUGCUGAUACAUUCUAGACCAUGGAGGAACCUUGAAGACAUUAUGCUAAGCGAAAGAAGCCAGACCCAAGAGGACAAAUACCAUACGAUUCUAUUUAUAUGAGGCCUUCGUGGAAAUUCCAGUACCAAUUACUCCUUCAUGGCAAGAAACUGAAGUCUUCUAUGUAACUACCUAAAGCUAAAACCUCCUUUUGUGGACCCCAUCUUUUUCACCUACUGGAGGAUGCCUUCCCCGUCUGCCCCGCGUUAUCAAAUUUUUGUUCUCUACUGAAUCCUUCCCACCACACAAACAUGUAGUUUUCAUUUUUCCCUUUCCCAUCCUUUGUCAGACAUUUUAUUUCUACAUAUGUUAGAAAUAUAGUAAUACAUUCUUAUUUUUGUUUUAAGCAACUAAACAACAACAAAAACCAACAAAAAACUUUUUCGCCCUACUUCCCCUGCCAACUAUCACCCCAUUAAGCUGCUCCCCUGUGUAGCAAAACACCUGUAAAAUAGCUUUCUGUAAUUGCAGCAUUUAAUUCCUGUUCUCUCUCUCUUAGGCCAAUUCCAAUCAGGCUUUCACUCCCUGUACAUCUGCUCUCAUCAAGGUCAAUCAUAACCACCAUUCGUGUUGUUAAAUCCAAUGCCCUACAUUCAGUCUUCAUCUUCCACUGGAUCCAAGAUCUCUAAGCAAUAUUUGUCCCAGUAGGUCACUCCAUCUUCCUUGAUUUAUUUUUUCCACCUGGCUUCCAGGGCCUGCACUCUCUUGGUUUCUUUUUCACCCCUCACUCAUCACUCCUUUUUUAAAUCUCCUUUUUAGGUUUGUCCUUCUCUCCCCAACUUCUAAACACAAGAAUGCCCAAGAAUCUUGGCUGUCCUUUUUUCCCUAUGUGCUCUCAUUUCUUUGGUGAUCUCGCAUAAUCCCAUGGUUUUAAAUACCUCAUAUUCAUCCUAUGCGGACACCAUACACGUUUCUAUCUCCAGUGCAGACCUCUCUCCUAAAUGCCAAACAUGAAUAUAUCCACUUGGAUGGCUAAGAGGAAUUUCAAAGCUAGCAUAUUUAACACUGCCUCCACCUUCAGUAUUCCCCAUUUCAAGUGGUGGCAAAUCCAUAUUCCAAUCGCUAGACUGAAAAUAUUCUUGAUUGCUUUACCUCACACACAUCACAUAUCCAUUAAGAAAUCAUGCUGGUUCUACCUUCAGAACAAGCCCAGAAUCCACACACUUCUCACCAUCUUCCUUACUACUGCUCUGGUUCAGGCUACCACCACCUCUCUCCUGAAUUACUGCUAUGUCCUCCUAAUAGGUAUCCCUGCAUCUAUCCUUCAGUUUGCUACCGAACCCGUUUACACUUAUUUCCAACAGAAGUUAGACCAUGUCACUUCUCUGUUCAUAUUUCUCCAGUGGCUCCCCAUUUCAUGCAGAGGAAAAACUAAAGUUCUUACAUAGUAGCCUAUAAGGCCCUAUGUGAUCAGUUCCCAUUACCUCCCUGACUUCAUUCCCUGCCAUUAAUAUCCUCACAGCCUUCUCCUUGGUCAUACCGGUCUUACUGUUCCUAGAACAUGCCCCUCCUUGCUACAAUGUAAGUUCUAUGAGGCAGGGGUCUUUGUAUGCUCUGUUCUCUUUUGUACCCCAAACAUACAAGAGAGCCUGGCACAACAAUAGAUUCUGCAAUAAAUAUUUGUUGAACGAACAAUCACAUAACCACCAGGCACCCCCUGAAAACAGUGAGAGAAGGUGAACUCUCUCACCUCUUUGGCUCUGGAAGAGGGUAAACUGCUGCCUGCUGGCCAACAUCAAACCCACUACUUGUUUUUGUAAAUUAAGGCGCAUUUAAACCAUGGCCCAAAACAUCAGUUUGCAUGUUAUCUGUGGCUGCUUUCCCCACACACCAGACCAGCAGAGUUGAGUAGCUGCCUCAGAAAAUGUAUGGUCCACAAGGCCAAAACUAUUUACUGUCUUGUUCUUGAUGGGAAAAUUUUGCUGAUCCCUGAUCUAGAAUUCAGAAAGGAAGAACUCAGCUAUUCCUCGCCUCCCACAAAAAUCUAACCACCAAACCCAAAGAAUGAAACACACUCAGAUUUGGGGCGGGUGACCCAGUCCCCCAGUACCAUGCAAAGAUGAUGCGAGCACUGCAGUCUGGGGGGAAGAGUGAGCUUAGAAAUGCUCCUAUCCUAUGCACAGGUGGUAUUCUGUCUGUGGAGGCAGCAAAAAGUAGCCAUGUCUGCCCACACACAUCACCAAUGGGAAGAUUAAGGAAGUUAGCUCUAUUUUUUACAUCUAUAUCAAUUAAUCUCUCAUGAGUUGAAAAAUUUCCCCUAACUGCCUAUUCUUAAUCAUGUUAGCACAGAAGGGUCAUUUAUAUCAUAUUCUGUGACCAAAUGACGCAUUCCAUUUCCUUAAAAUAGAGUCAGCUCUCAUCUGUCUUGAAAACAGGGCUUUUCUGAACACUGACUGACACAGUGGGUGAGCUGGGGGUUCAGCAGGUGCUCCUUCGGGAUGCUAAAAACCUGGCUUGAAAGAGGCAAAGAGUGGGCUGUGGGACCCCCUCCAAAAUGAGCCUGGGAUGGGCAAACCUGGGUGGAGGGCUUUCCUAGGACGUUGUCAUGGCGCUCAGGAUGACUUAGGGUUGGGAUUGCUUUGGACCUGUCUCAAAUCCCAGCCUCCCUAGGGAUUCCUUGGAAUUGGAAGGACUCUGUAUAAAGGAGCCAACUGAGAGCCAUGUAGUCUAGAUUCAUACCUCUGGUACUUGCUGGAAUGAGACCAACCUCCUGGGCGCCUGGUGACCCUGGACCCACAAAUGUGGAACUCGGCUGCCUUUGCCCUGGUCCCAGGGGGAAUAUAUUCCUAUUUCUCCAGUUCACAGGCAGAACUCUCCCUCUGGUUACGACUCCCAUCGGCUCCUCCCUCAAAGAGAAAGAAAUAAAACUCUCUAAUGUGAAGAAGAGAAGGCUGCAAAGCAUUCAUCAGUCAAAUGGCCCCCCAAAGAUGGUACCCAACCAUCACUUCGUAAAACAAAACAAAACCCACUAGACUUCAGUGCAAGGCAAGGACCAUAAUUUAGAGAUAAAUUCCACCUGAUAGCCACUGAAAAUGCCAGAAUAAAAACUGAUCUGAGGAAUAUUCAAAAGUGCUUGCAUACCAGAGAAGAAAAACAAACCUUGGUUAAUAGUCAACCACGGCAACUGAUUUCUGAGUUCAGGUCCCUCUGGGUGUCAUGGAAUCCCUAUUCUUUGGAGAAUGUUAAGACCAGGAUGGCUCUGCUGGAACUUUGGCAUAUAACUCUGGCAUACAGCUGGGUUGUAGAAACCUCUAAACUUUCCUCUGACUCCAUGUUUCCAGGAAUGACUAAAGUAAAAGGAAAUUCAAAGAGGAAAAAGAGGCAGAGGGCUAUGGUAGAUCUCUCGUUCCGAGUACCCCGUGUGCUGCCCUGGAGCUUCUGUCUCCCCAGGGUACAAAUCAAGAUGGGGCUUCUAAAGGUGGAUAUUGCUGUUGUUAAUAGCAGUACUUCCCAGGAGACUUCAUCUGCUAAUAGAAUGGUGAGAGCAAGAGAAGAUUCAGCAGAACAUUUCAAAGCACCUUGGACUAGACCUUUGCUACAUAGAUGUCUCUUUUCCUUAGUGUGGAUGAAAGCAGAGGACAGGGGGAAACAACUCAGUGGAUGACCUUUCUUUGCUGCAUUACCUGCAAGUCAAGAAGAGAAUAAUCCUGGAGGCUCUGGUCUAACCACUUCUCAGGCUCCUCCAUGAGAUAGUAAGAAUUCGCAAUAAUCUACUAACGGAUAAACAGGAAAGUUAUUUGUUGCAAGCUUGGACUUAAUAUGUGUUAAGUAAUAGAGUUAACAACCUUUACAGAGCAGGUCACCAAGCACUGCCUGGGAGGACGAAGACACCACAAGGGAGUGCUCACAGGGACACACAGAUACAAUAUUUUAAAAAUAAUUUGUCAUGUUAUUUAUUUUGAGAGAGGGAGGGAGAGAGAGUGUGCAUAUGAGCAGGGAAAGGGCAGAGAGAGAGAGAGAGAGAGAGAGAGAGAGAGAGAGACAGAAAAUCCAAAGCAGGCUCCAUCCUGUCAGCGCGAAACCCAACACAGGGCUCGAACUCACGGACCAUGAGAUCAUGACCUGAGCUGAAAUCAAGAGUCUGAUGUCUAACUGGUGGAGCCACCCAGGCACCGCAGAUAUUCUAUUUUUAAAUAAGGUGUUGAGGUGCCAGUUACCUUGACCUCAGGAAAAAUACUCAUGCAUAAAGUCACAUUGAAUUUGGACAGGAAAACUAGCAUCAUCGUACGAUUACUUGAAUACAACCG